rnacentral:rRNA from 1 species
GAUGAACGCUGGCGGCGUGCCUAAUACAUGCAAGUCGAGCGAACAGACGCGGCGCUUGCUGCUCUGACGUUAGCGGCAGACGGGUGUGACACACGUGGAUCACCUCCCUAUAAGACUGGGAUAACUUCGGGAAACCGGAGCUAAUACCGGAUAAUAUAUUGAACCGCAUGGUGGAAUAGUGAAAGACGGUUUUGCUGUCACUUAUAGAUGGUUCCGCGCCGCAUUAGCUAGUUGGUAAGUUAACGGCUUACCAAGGCAACGAGGCGUAGCCGACGUGAGAGGGUGAUCGGCCACAUUAGAGGUUAGCCACGCUCCAGGCUCCUGCGGGAGGCAGCAGUAGGGAAUCGUCCGCAGUGGGCGAGAGCAUGGCGGAGCAACGCCGCGUGAGUGAUGAAGGUCCUCCGAUCGGAAUGAUCUCUUACGAGUGAAGAACAAAUUUGGAAGUAACUAUGCACGGAUUGACGGUACUUAAUAAGAAAGCCACGGCUAACUACGUG